rnacentral:rRNA from 1 species
GAUGAACGCUAGCUACCCGUUUAACACAUGCAAGUCGAGGGGCAGCAUGGUCUUAGCUUGCUAAGGCCGAUGGCGACCGGCGCACGGGUGAGUAACACGUAUCCAACCUGCCGUCUACUCUUGGACAGCCUUCUGAAAGGAAGAUUAAUACAAGAUGGCAUCAUGAGUCCGCGUGUUCACAUGAUUAAAGGUAUUCCGGUAGACGAUGGGGAUGCGUUCCAUUAGAUAGUAGGCGGGGUAACGGCCCACCUAGUCUUCGAUGGAUAGGGGUUCUGAGAGGAAGGUCCCCCACAUUGGAACUGAGACACGGUCCAAACUCCUACGGGGGGCAGCAGUGAGGAAUAUUGGUCAAUGGGCGAGAGCCUGAACCAGCCAAGUAGCGUGAAGGAUGACUGCCCUAUGGGUUGUAAACUUCUUUUAUAAAGGAAUAAAGUCGGGUAUGCAUACCCGUUUGCAUGUACUUUAUGAAUAAGGAUCGGCUAACUCCGUGCCAGCAGCCGCGGUAAUACGGAGGAUCCGAGCGUUAUCCGGAUUUAUUGGGUUUAAAGGGAGCGUAGAUGGAUGUUUAAGUCAGUUGUGAAAGUUUGCGGCUCAACCGUAAAAUUGCAGUUGAUACUGGAUAUCUUGAGUGCAGUUGAGGCAGGCGGAAUUCGUGGUGUAGCGGUGAAAUGCUUAGAUAUCACGAAGAACUCCGAUUGCGAAGGCAGCCUGCUAAGCUGCAACUGACAU